AUGAGUGAGGGCACUAGUCCCUCAAGCAGCUAUGAUGAGGGCAGCAGGAGCACACCUAGUAACUUGCCCACGGCAGCUACUAGAACCAGGAAGAAGAAAACUUCUGAUUCAGAGGAUGAAGAUUAUAUUGCAGCUGAUGAUGAGGCCAUUUCCAAGAGGAAAGUUGUGAAGAAACAAUUUGGCACUGCUGCAUCAACUAAACCAGGCAUGAACAAGAAGGCACCUGCCAGGAGAGUGCCUACAUCCAAACCCAGGAAGGUUGCCAUAGGUGAAACUAUGAAGUUCACCAUUGAAUCUGAAGAAGAAGCAGCUGGUGAAGACAAGAAAAAGAAGAGGGCAAGAACAACUACAACCAAAGUUCUUGGAAAGUCCACAAUGGUGAGAUCAUAUGAUGAAGAGGAAGAGGAUGCUGCUCCAGCACCCAAAGCUCAGAAGCUCAUGGGAGAUGCAAUCAGAUCAGAAGAGAUCUUGUGGGUAUGCUCCACAGAUUUAGGUUCUCAUCAACUCCAAGAUGGGCACAGGCACGUAUUUGUUGGACAAGGAGCAUCUACCCCUCAAGCCAGACUUUGA
rnacentral:rRNA from 1 species